rnacentral:rRNA from 1 species
GUUGUAUGGUUAAGUGACUAAGCGUACACGGUGGAUGCCUUGGCAGUCAGAGGCGAUGAAGGACGUAUUAACUUGCGAUAAGCCCAGAUUAGGUAGUAAAAACCAUUUGAGUCUGGGAUUUCCGAAUGGGGAAACCCAAUACCAUAAGGUAUUACUGUUGAGUGAAUACAUAGCUCAACAGGGCGAACCGGGGGAACUGAAACAUCUAAGUACCCCGAGGA